rnacentral:rRNA from 1 species
CCUACGGGAGGCAGCAGUGAGGAAUAUUGGACAAUGGGCGCAAGCCUGAUCCAGCCAUGCCGCGUGCAGGAUGACGGUCCUAUGGAUUGUAAACUGCUUUUGCACAGGAAGAAACAACAUUACGUGUAAUGUCUUGACGGUACUGUGAGAAUAAGGAUCGGCUAACUCCGUGCCAGCAGCCGCGGUAAUACGGAGGAUCCAAGCGUUAUCCGGAAUCAUUGGGUUUAAAGGGUCCGUAGGCGGUUUAGUAAGUCAGUGGUGAAAGCCCAUCGCUCAACGGUGGAACGGCCAUUGAUACUGCUAAACUUGAAUUAUUAGGAAGUAACUAGAAUAUGUAGUGUAGCGGUGAAAUGCUUAGAGAUUACAUGGAAUACCAAUUGCGAAGGCAGGUUACUACUAAUGGAUUGACGCUGAUGGACGAAAGCGUGGGUAGCGAACAGGAUUAGAUACCCUGGUAGUCCACGCCGUAAACGAUGGAUACUAGCUGUUGGAAGCAAUUUCAGUGGCUAAGCGAAAGUGAUAAGUAUCCCACCUGGGGAGUACGUUCGCAAGAAUGAAACUCAAAUGAAUUGACGG